rnacentral:lncRNA from 1 species
AAGUUCCGGUACGUACGGACAAAAUUCCUGCAAGAAGCAUCAUUUCCAUCCGGUUUCAUCGUCAUUAAUUCGGAAAAAGAGAAUCAGAAGGGGGAGUAUCAGCCGUGAUGAGCAGGCAGAACCAGAUACCAAUUUGAAGGCCAAGCGGCAGAAGCUUUUAAAGUGAGAUCGUCAAGAUGUUCAGGCAACUGCAAAGAGAAAUAGGAUGACAGACGAGGAGCCUUAAUUGGAGGAUUAAUUGACCAAGCGAGCCUGUUGUACAAUUCUCUACCAUCAGUUAUCACGUACAACCCUGCGACGGUGAGACCAUCAACUCCUCAGAUGUGAAGGAUGUCACUUCUAUUCAAACUGUACCCAAACAGUCAACUGUUUGUGUGGGGUACACCCCAUCCCUGUGACAAGAAGCUGUAGAGUGUGAGGAGAAGAUACUCAUGAAGAAGGAACUGAAUAAUCUCAUUGUAGUUACUCACUGAAGAGUGACAAAGUCACUUCCAAAACACCAGGGGAGGUAAGCCUGUUGUGGAAGACGUACCUCAAACUAUGGUAAUCAGCUCUUACAAAGGUGUUGUCAAGGACAUCACUGACACUGCCCAGAAUGAACUACAAUUGCAGCAACUUUGUAGUGUACAUUAUACAACUACAAGCAUUGUUUGCUACCUAUCUGAUUCAGAUAAAAACAAGUGAUAACUCUGUAGCUCAGCUAUAGGUAUGGAGCACAGACAGUCACUUUGUCAUAUUUAAUCUGAUAACGUUGUGUCCAUGCAUCUCUUAAAUCAAAAGGUUUAUCUUUAUAGCAGUGUUAACAUUGGUUCACUUCCUAGAACAUAAAGUGCUGAUAUUUUCAGGUUUGGUAAUAACAUACAAGAAUGUCCUAUCAAAAAAUCAUUACAAUGUUUGAAAGCCAUUUGUGUCUUGUGAAAUAACCAUAUGUAUUAUGCGUUGAACUAACCCUGAUGCUCAUAAUAUUCAAGUACCUGCUGAGGGGAGAUAACUCUAAUCCUACAUCUAUAAGUAAUACUGUGUUCAUUUUAAUAAAUGAUAUCUUGCCCAUGCGAUCAUUUGAAAUGUGAGGUAGAAGUAAACUGAUUGAGUUAAAAAUAUAUGUGGGCCAUUUCUCAUACCUUAAAUUGAGCUAUUUAAUUUUGCUAAGUUGUUUUUCUGUGCCAAUAUUAUACCAGCGCAGAGACCGUAUAAUGAGAUAUGGUCUCUGGUUAUCUGUUAAGGUUUGAAGACAUAAAAAUGUACCUGAUGCUGAAAGUUUUGUUCUUAUUAUCUAACAAAAGGUUGCAAGUUUAUUGAGGAUGAACUUACUACAUGUCGUACCUACAUGGAAGCGGUAGUGGCCUACUCCUCUCAAAACUGUUAAUAGUUAUGUGGUUGCACUGCAAACAUGCUUUGUUGUUGGGACAUAUGGGUCAAUAGCCUGUAAUGUCUGUUUGACUGUCGAAUGUAACGUGUAUAUUUCCCUCUGACAAAAGGUGAAGAAAACGCAGUGUGUAAACAGACAUAGAUAUAGUUGCAAAAGACAUUAAAAUCAUAUCUUAGUUCUUGCUACCACUGAACAAAGUGGUUGCAAGAAAUCAGACCUAAUUUUAAUGAGAUUGAGCACCCCCAGAAAUGAUUCAGUGACUAAUGAAACAAAUGCUUGAUUGAAAUUUCUGACAAAAUGAGCUGCAAUGAAUGAAUGUCAUCGGUAAGGACAACCCUCUGACAAUAAGAAACCACCACCAUUGUAGAGAAUACUGCACGUGCAUGCCACGGCGAGCUCUAACAUCAAACAGGAACACUCACAUCCUUUUGAUGGAACACCAUUCUUGUCAUAAUCACCACUGCCAUUACAGUUGAAAUUAAUGGUGACAAUACAAUUCGUUAUCUCAGGGGGUGCUUAACUUUUUUCAAGGAGUAUAUAUCAAGCCUUAUGAAAUACUUCCAUUCAAAAACAAACAUACUAGACACUAGGGGCCUACAUUUUUCUUUCUUUCUUUGCACUUAAAAGAAACGCUCGACACAUUUUGUCACUGCUACUGGCCCUCACCCGCCAUUUCUUACGUAAGAACAGGAUUAGAGGAUGAGGUAGGAUAUAAGCCCUUUACUUGACUCACUGAAAAUAUCAAAUUCAUAGUUUUGGACAACUUUGCCAGACUGUAAUAAGCAAAUCUGGACCAGACAAUCCAGUGAUUGACAUUUUGAGCAUCACUCCAUGCAAUUGGGGUACGAUGACAUGCAUCAACCAAGUCGGCAAGUUUGACAACCCAAUCACAUUAGUCACUACUUCACAUCUCUCAGGGGGCACAGAUGGCCCAGUUGUCUAAGGGGCCACAUUUCGCUGUGCAGAGUUGUGUCCAUUGGGCACACCAGAAUUGUGGUG